rnacentral:rRNA from 1 species
UACGUAGGGGGCAAGCGUUAUCCGGAUUUACUGGGUGUAAAGGGAGCGUAGGCGGCGAUGCAAGUCAGAAGUGAAAGCCCGGGGCUCAACUCCGGGACUGCUUUUGAAACUGUGUUGCUAGAUUGCAGGAGAGGUAAGUGGAAUUCCUAGUGUAGCGGUGAAAUGCGUAGAUAUUAGGAGGAACACCAGUGGCGAAGGCGGCUUACUGGACUGUAAAUGACGCUGAGGCUCGAAAGCGUGGGGAGCGAACAGG